rnacentral:rRNA from 1 species
GUUGAACGCUGGCGGCAGGCCUAACACAUGCAAGUCGAACGAGUGGCGGACGGGUGAGUCAUGUCUGGGAAACUGCCCGAUGGAGGGGGAUAACUACUGGAAACGGUAGCUAAUACCGCAUACCAUCGGCUGUUCCAAGCUGGGAUUAGCUAGUAGGUGGGGUAACGGGUCACCAAGGCGACGAUCCGGAGCGGGUCUGAGAGGACGACCAGCCACACUGGGACUGAGACACGGCCCAGACUCCUACGGGAGGCAGCAGUGGGGAAUUUUCGACAAUGGGGGAAACCCUGAUCCAGCCAUCCCGCGUGAGCGAUGAAGGCCUUCGGAUUGUAAAGCACUUUUGUCAGGAAAGCGGUACCUGAAGAAUAAGCACCGGCUAACUACGUGCCAGCAGCCGCGGUAAUAC